rnacentral:snoRNA from 1 species
AUUCUUUUGUAGUUCAUAAGCGUGAUGAUUGGGUUUUCACACUCAUGUGUGAGAUGUGUCUCCUUCAAACCUUGUUACAAUGUCGGCACAUUACCCGUCUGAUG